rnacentral:rRNA from 2 species
CUACCCUUGACAUCGAGAGAACUUGGCAGAGAUGCCUUGGUGCCUUCGGGAACUCUCAGACAGGUGCUGCAUGGCCGUCGUCAGCUCGUGUUGUGAAAUGUUGGGUUAAGUCCCGUAACGAGCGCAACCCUUGUCCCUAUUUGCCAGCGAUUCGGUCGGGAACUCUAGGGAGACUGCCGGUGACAAACCGGAGGAAGGUGGGGACGACGUCAGGUCAUCAUGGCCCUUACGGGUAGGGCUACACACGUGCUACAAUGGCCGGUACAAAGGGUUGCGAAGCCGCGAGGUGGAGCCAAUCCCGAAAAGCCGGUCUCAGUCCGGAUCGGAGUCUGCAACUCGACUCCGUGAAGUCGGAAUCGCUAGUAAUCGUGAAUCAGAAUGUCACGGUGAGUACGUUCCCGGGUCUUGUACACACCG